AUGCGUGAGUGCAUCUCCAUCACAUUGGCCAGGCUGGUGUCCAGGUUGGCAAUGCCUGUUGGGAGGCCUACUGCUUGGAACAUGGCAUCCAGCCCAAUGGCCAGAUGCCAAGUGACAAGACCACUCGGGGAGGAGAUGACUCCUUCAACAGCUUCUUCAGUGAGACGGGCUCCGGCAAGCACGUGCCCAGGGCAGUGUUUCUAGAUCUGGAACCCAUGGUAAUUGAUGAUGAAGUUUGCACUGGCACCUGCCACCAGCUCUCCCACCCUGAGCAGCUCAUCACAGGCAAGGAAGAUGCUGCCAGUAACUAUGCUAUUGGCCAGGAGAUCACUGACCUCGUUUUGGACCAAAUUUGUAAACUGGCUGACCAGUGCAUGGUUCUCCAGGGCUUCUUGGUUUUCCACAGCUCUGGUGAAGGAAUUGUUUCUGGGUUCACCUCCCUGCUCAUGGAACAACUCCCAGUUGAUGAUGGCAAGAAGUCCAAGCUGGAGUUCUCCAUUAAGUCAGCACCCCAGGUUUCCACAGCUGUAGUUGAGUCCUACAACUCCAUCCUCACCACCCAGUGAGGACAUGACUGCCCUUGAGAAGGAUUAUAAGGAGGUUGGUGUGGAUCCUGUUGAAGGAGAAGGUGAGGAAGAAAGAGAGGAAUACUAAAGUAAAAAUGUCACAAAGGUGCUGCUUUUACAGGGAAGCUUAUUCUGUUUUAAACAUUGAAAAGUUGUGGUCUGAUCAGUUAAUUUGUAUGUAGCAGUGUAUGCUCUAAUAUACAAUUACUGACCUAUGCUUUAAAACAUGACUGAUUUUGCAGACCCAAACUGUCCGUUUCUGUGAUGAGUUUUGAAUAAAGUAUCCCCUGUCUUUAA